rnacentral:rRNA from 1 species
AUGGACAGGCCAUGCGCACACAAGCAGGUCACUGCGGAUGACCUGACGCAACUUGGCCCGGCCUUGUAUGAGUGCAUGGAGCAUGUGAUCGAAGGAUCUGUUGAGAAGACUGACCGCAGCUUUAUGAAGAUCAGCAAGCUUGCCUCCGUAGUGGACGGGCCACUGCAGCGUCUGUCCAGGAUAAUCGCCCACAGCUUAGCCCGCCGCCUUAUAUGCCCCGUCCAGGGCUUUGCUGCUGCCCUCAUCGAUCCAUCGCACUACCUCGAGCAGUCCUGCCUCCGGGCUGCCCGCGAGAACUUCGCCGACAUCAGCCCCUACCUCAGCACUGGCUUUGUCACUAUUAACCGGGCUAUGCUGGAGCAAGUCCAGGAUCGAAAGGUUGUCCGCAUCGUUGACUUGUCCUGCUCAACCACCCACCAGUGGCAGUGGAUCAAGAUUCUUCAGGAUUUCCAUAGCCGCCCUGGGGGCCCGCCCGAACUACGCCUAACUGUUGUCCAUGAAGACAGUGAGUUCCUGGACAACAUGCAGGCGUGCCUGUGCAAGCAAGCUGCUAACCUCAAGCUAUGUUUUUAUUUCGACAAGGUGAUUGGCAAACUCGAGACAUUGGACUUCAGCAAUCUCCGCGAGAUCCUUAAGAUAAACUUCGGUGAGGCGGUUGUGAUCAGCUGUGCUCUACAGAUGCAUCGCCUCCUCGCGGUUGAUGACAGCAUAAGCCGUGACUUCACUGCUCAGCUCCAGCAAAUGGCAAACAUGGCUCGGCUUAAGCAAAUGGCCUGCUCAGCGUGCAGUCCAGCAUCGACACUGAACUAUCCGUAG